rnacentral:lncRNA from 1 species
AUUAAUCACAAGGAUGGGGGUUCUUCAGUGUGCUCAUGGGAUGCUCCCAUCUGCCCUGGCUUCUGCAGAGCAGCUCUAGCUUAGGGACAUUUUCUACCAGUGCCACAUACUUUCCCUUCUGUAUAAAAUGGUCAGAGGGAUCAGCCCUUAGGACUCCCUAAUGCCUCAGUGAUAGAAACCCACCCUCCAAAAUUGCGCCCUCACCACUUUGAGAAUGUUGCGUUUAGAGAACAAUUGUCUUCACGUGUUCAACAUUGUCCUGUUAUUUAUGAGGUUUUCAACCACCUGGAAGCCAGGCAAAUACUGACCCAAGCUCGGAACUGUGCGCUGACCCAAGGACAAAAGAGUAUUCUCCAUAUGCAUUCCCUGGGCCUGUUGGUUGCCAAGAUGGGGACCCUUGAAAGUCCAGCGUGGCUUAGUCUUGAUUUCAAAGAGGCAAACGAAGAGUUCCGGCGGCCGGAAAGUCCAAGAUCACCGCGCCCGCAGCUUCGGCGUCUGAAGAAUUGGGACAAUAACACAGAUCAGGAAAAGCGAAUAGACAAGGAGAAUCUUAAGAAAUGACUCCCUAGAUCCAGCCCACAGUCCGAGGGAGGGGAUUAUACAAGGAAGUGAAUACCAGACAGUGUGGAUUAUUUGUGGCCAUCCCAGAGGACUGGGGACAAAGGUCAGUUUUGAGCAUGCAGAUGAGGGCAAUGCACUAGGAUGGGGUGAAGAAACAGAUUGGAAGGAACUGGGUUUCUGAAUGACCACAUGGAGCCAAGUUGCCUGCCAACCUGCUCUGCUGACUCCAGACUGUAACGUGAGAAAUAAGCCACUGAAUUAUUCCUGGCUCCCUGUGACAGCAGCCUAGGUUUUACCCCUGCUAAUACAUUUACCAAGUUAAGUAACCUCAUUGAGUGUCACUUUCGUUAUCUGUAAAGGGAGAAUAAUGUUGAUACAUCCCUUGGAAGGCUGUGGUGAUAAAUAUACAAGAUAAUCCAGACAAAGUGCUUGGUCCAGUGCCCUUCUCAUGGUAAUUUUUUAAAUAAGUGGUUUCUACUAGAAUGAAGAAUGAAGAUAAUUCCAUCUUUGGUUUGGAUGAUGGAUAUAGAGCUAGGAAAGCAGAUGGAGUUGGUGAACUGACAGAAAGACCUGAACUGAUUGAAACAGACUUGCCAUGAGUGGAACCCUAGUAUUCAUAUUUUUUAAAAGUUCCCCAGAUAGCUCUGGUGAGUACCUUGGUUUGGAUACACGUACUUUAUAUUGGCUCUGUAUGUCAUAUAGUAUUCCGUUAAUUAAAUGCCUUAAUGCUUUCCUUUGAGAGAAAGAUCAAUCUAGAAUUCCUGAUAUUCCCAUAAGUGCUAGAAAAGGGAAGUAUAAUAGGCCAAAUUAGUCAUAUUCAAUGAAACACAUUUCUUGUUGAUACUGAUGUCGAAAACAAACAAACAAAAAAACUGCAUGAGAGACUUCUAUUUGGGGCGGUAUUAUCAUCUACAUUCUCCAAAGAUUCUUCUUAUUAGAUCCUGCAGAAGACUUGAGUUUUCUGGCACUUCUGGGCUCAGGAGAUAAGGGAAAUCUUCAAGCCCAUAAAUCCAACCCAAGCAAACAAAGCUGUGAGCUGAAACUUGGGAGGUGCGUUGCGAGCAGACACGUGGAGUGAGGCUGCCUUACAUGCUAAAUCAGCACCGAGACAAGGAGACCGACUCCUGAGUCUGCUUACAGUUGAGGGGAUGAACCUGAGGCUCCAGGUGAAGCUGGAGAUCCUGAAGGGAGCCAAAUCGGUCCCAGAUCAGUGGUGUCCUUGGGCUAUUGGCUGAAGCAAAUGUGAAUCAUCUCUGGAGGAGAGCAUGCCCCACAUAAGGGCCUAGGAGUUCAAGGGAUAAAGAUAAACCAAAUAUGAGCUGAUAAGUGAAGACCAACAAACACACAAGGGAACACGCCCUCACAAGUGAAGAAAGAAACCCAAAGGACAUCAGAUACUGCAGUUCUCAUUUUCCAAACAGCAUAACUCUGUAGACAGUUUUUUUUAAAAAAAAACAGACUUAUUGAGAUAUACUUCAC